rnacentral:rRNA from 1 species
UCCAGACUCCUACGGGAGGCAGCAGUGAGGAAUAUUGGUCAAUGGCCGAGAGGCUGAACCAGCCAAGUCGCGUGAGGGAUGACGGCCCUACGGGUUGUAAACCUCUUUUGCCGGGGAGCAAAGAGCGGGACGCGUCCCGCCUCGAGAGUACCCGGAGAAAAAGCAUCGGCUAACUCCGUGCCAGCAGCCGCGGUAAUACGGAGGAUGCGAGCGUUAUCCGGUUUUAUUGGGUUAAAAGGGUGCGUAGGCGGCGUGUAAGGUGAGGGGUAAAGGCCCGGGCCACACCCCCGGCGAGCCGUUGAAACUGGCUGUCUUGAGAUGUCGAGAGGUAUGCGGAAUGUGCAGUGUAGCGGUGAAAUGCUUAGAUAUUAGGAGGAACACCAGUGGCGAAGGCGACUUUCUGGACAGUAACUGACGUUGAGGCACGAAAGUGUGGGGAGCAAACAGGAUUAGAUACCCCAGUA